rfam:Cyberlindnera jadinii strain CBS1600 genome assembly, contig: CJ2
AACAUCAAUAUCGCCAACAUGACGGCCCGUAAGCUUCGAUACCUUUGCUUCCCUUGUGACCUGUGAUGUUCUUGUGGGGCUACAGUGGAGGUGAUGCUUGCGGGAGGGGCGUAGAGUGAUACGGACGUUGCUGGGCGCCUGGUGUUGAAUCACAUCAUGUGAUACUGGGAAUCAGUUGUUUCUACAUUC